rnacentral:rRNA from 1 species
AUAGAACGCUGGCGGCAUGCUUUACACAUGCAAGUCGAACGGCAGCACGGGGGCAACCCUGGUGGCGAGUGGCGAACGGGUGAGUAACACAUCGGAACGUGCCCAGUUGUGGGGGAUAACCUAUCGAAAGGUAGGCUAAUACCGCAUGAGCUCGGCAAGAGGAAAGCGGGGGACUCAGCGAUGGGCCUCGCGCGACUGGAGCGGCCGAUGUCCGAUUAGCUAGUGGUGGGGUAAAGGCUUACCAAGGCGACGAUCGGUAGCUGGUCUGAGAGGAUGAUCAGCCACACUGGGACUGAGACACGGCCCAGACUCCUACGGGAGGCAGCAGUGGGGAAUUUUGGACAAUGGGGCAACCCUGAUCCAGCCAUGCCGCGUGAGUGAAGAAGGCC